rnacentral:lncRNA from 1 species
CGGGUCACAACACGAUUUCGUGACAUCGCGCAAUAAAUGUUAUAUUCAGGAUUCAGAACGGCCUUUUUAUUGCGCUGAGGUGGCUGGAAGCUGGACGCCUCAGGUUCCGUGGUCUUGAGUAACGUUGGAGUUUUCGAUCGAAGAGAGACGGCGACGCCGUCUCGGGGUCCCUGUUGAAUGAAGGUGGUCGCUGACGCCGAGCUGCGGCGGUUUCUAGGGGUGCGUAGCGACAUUCGGGGCUGCAAUCGGGCCUGUAACGUGCGAGCGCAGCUUCGCGUA